rnacentral:rRNA from 1 species
CCUACGGGAGGCAGCAGUGGGGAAUAUUGGACAAUGGGCGAAAGCCUGAUCCAGCCAUGCCGCGUGUGUGAAGAAGGCCUUCGGGUUGUAAAGCACUUUCAGUGGGGAAGAAAGCCUUGGGGCUAAUACCCUCGAGGAAGGACAUCACCCACAGAAGAAGCACCGGCUAACUCCGUGCCAGCAGCCGCGGUAAUACGGAGGGUGCGAGCGUUAAUCGGAAUUACUGGGCGUAAAGCGCGCGUAGGCGGUCUGAUAAGCCGGUUGUGAAAGCCCCGGGCUCAACCUGGGAACGGCAUCCGGAACUGUCAGGCUAGAGUGCAGGAGAGGAAGGUAGAAUUCCCGGUGUAGCGGUGAAAUGCGUAGAGAUCGGGAGGAAUACCAGUGGCGAAGGCGGCCUUCUGGACUGACACUGACGCUGAGGUGCGAAAGCGUGGGUAGCAAACAGGAUUAGAUACCCGAGUAGUU